CAGGGAUUUAUAAAGACAAAAACAAAUGCUAUUCUGGGGCAAAAUGCUAAAGAGUGGUUCCUAUAAAAACCAGUAGCACAUAUCUCAAUAUUUGGCACUUUACUUGAAAAUGGUACAUGUUUUGCCUUGGUAAAUCCCAUCUUUAUUGUCUAAUGAGAUUGUGAGACGAAACUUUAUAUAUGUAUUUUGAGAACUUUGUGAUUUGUUCUGUUUCAAUAACCAAGCAGUACAUACAGUGUUAAUUUAAAAUGCAUAUACAUUAUUGAUAAGAGCAUAAAUAAAUAUUUGCACAUAAAAGGGGUACACCCUUUUAUUUAAC